rnacentral:rRNA from 4 species
UACGUAGGGCGCAAGCGUUAUCCGGAAUUAUUGGGCGUAAAGAGCUCGUAGGCGGUUUGUCGCGUCUGCUGUGAAAGACCGGGGCUCAACUCCGGUUCUGCAGUGGGUACGGGCAGACUAGAGUGCAGUAGGGGAGACUGGAAUUCCUGGUGUAGCGGUGAAAUGCGCAGAUAUCAGGAGGAACACCGAUGGCGAAGGCAGGUCUCUGGGCUGUAACUGACGCUGAGGAGCGAAAGCAUGGGGAGCGAACAGG